rnacentral:piRNA from 1 species
UGAGAAAGCAGUAUAAUUAUAGUAGGAC